AUGGGGGUGCCGCUGCCGGAGUCGAGGUGGCGGCCGUGGGCUGAACUCCCCGAGAGGUACCUCAGCGACAUCAUCCGCAACCUCCCGUGCAUCCUCGACCACGCCCGCUUCUCCGGCGUCUGCACUAGGUGGCGCGAGACGGCGCGGCCGAACCCGCCGAGGUUCCCGUUCCCGUGGCUGAUGAUGCCAUCCACCGCCGCGACCUCCUUCUUCUGCGUCGCCUGCGGAGCGACCCACCACCGCCCCAGGCUCCCCGCGGACGCCCGCGGCGCGCGCUUCUGCGGCUCUUUCCCGGGCGGCUGGCUCGUCGCCGAGCUCCCGUGGCCGCACGGCCACUACGCGUUGCUCAACCUCCUCACCGGCGCGCGCGUCCCCCUCCCGAGGCUCCUCGCCGUCCCUUGCCACGGUGGCGGCAAGAUGUGCCCCGUCGUUCUCCACGCCGUCACCCUCUCCGCCGCGCCGUCCGUCGAGCCCGGCCCCGGCGAGCCCUACUACGCCGCCGCCAUAGUGGCUGGCCAGUCCAACAUCGCGUUCUGGUGCCCGCGCGCCGGGAACUGCUGGUUUCCGCCGAUCUUCUCGUCGGACGCCAGCGACGAAUCGUGGCACGAUUUCUUGCCCAAGGACAGGAUCGAGGACGUGAUAUACUUCUCCGGCAAGUACUUCGUGGGCUUCUACGUCCUCACCAACGAGGAGGACCUCCUGAUGUUCCGGCCGAAGCCCGACGGCGACGGAGCGCAGCUCUCCACGUUCACGGUGCGCUACAGCUUCCCCGGCCACCGCGCGGCCGAGCCGGCGCCGGGGCAGACGGUCUCCCGCUACCUCGUCGUGUCCCGCGGAGAGCUGCUGAUGAUCGUGAGGUUCGCCGGCCCCGAGGAGCGCACGAGGUUCGACGUGCUCGUGCUGGAGGAGAAGAAGAUCGUCGGGGGAGCGGACCACAACGACCCGCCCCGAGUCUUGGCUUCUUGGAGACGGUGCUGCAGCGCGGCGACCCUCAGCGGCCGGAGGAUCUUCCUCGGGCGGUGCUGCUCCGUGGCCGUCGACGUGGGGUACCCCUUCCCGCUCUACAUCUACUUCCUGGACGACGGCAGGAGGUCCCACGGCGCCCUCCCGACGGCCGGGAGCCCGCCGUACCCCUGCAGCGAGACCGGCGGGUUCUGGUUCUUCAACAAGGGCAUCGUGCGCUGCCUCCCGCGAGAGCCUCCGUCGGACUGCUCGCCGUGGAUUUGGUUCUACCUGUCCGACGAGACAUUCCGGGCCGGCGUGCCUCCGCCUGCAACUCCGGCUUGCGGCUGGGGGGUCGACACUGACAGUGAGUAG
rnacentral:rRNA from 1 species